rnacentral:Y_RNA from 1 species
GGCUGGUCAAGUGUCGCAGUGGUUUUACAACUAAAGAUCACAACCAUUAGAUAUCUCUUUGUUCUCUUCUCCAUUCCCACUGCUUCACUUGACUAGCCUUUA